UUGCUUUGGCAGCAUGUAUGUUGAAAUUGGAACCACACAGAGAAGGUUAGCAAUGGCUUCUCUGCAGGGCUGGCAUGCACAUUUGUGCCACAUUUCGUUUUUCU
ensembl:snRNA U6 U6 spliceosomal RNA